rnacentral:lncRNA from 1 species
GUGUUUACAAUUACAGGUGAAACAUAUACCUUUCAUUGAUGUUCCCAUGGACACCAUAUUCAUAUCAUAGCAAAGAUCUUUGAUGUGGCAUAGCCAAGUGGCCAUCAAAAAUCUGCAACCUGGUGAAAUAUAAAAUAACCCUUUCAAAGAAAGAGCAACCGCAGGCAUACCUGAUAAAGAAGUGUGUCUAACAUACUGAUGCUGAAUACUCUUCCCGCAGCAAAAGGCAGUCGAAACAUAAAGGCCAGGUUAGAACCUCGUUCUCUUUCUUUCUGUUCAGAAUCAGAGGAAGAAGCUAUGAGCAUCUAUAUUUUAUGCAUUGCUGUGUGGACAAAUUUUCUCCGCAAAUAUUUAAAAAGGUAUUCAUAUUCAACUCUUUACAGUAAAUGUUCCCCAUCUUUGUUUAAAAUAGAUUCUUGUAUAUGUUCUUGCAAGUGUAUUGUGUAAAUGUGCUUAAAAAUAAAAUUUUAAAUAUU